AGUGAACGCUGGCGGUAGGCCUAACACAUGCAAGUCGAACGGCAGCACAGUAAGAGUUUGCUCUUACGGGUGGCGAGUGGCGGACGGGUGAGGAAUACAUCGGAAUCUACUUUUUCGUGGGGGAUAACGUAGGGAAACUUACGCUAAUACCGCAUACGACCUACGGGGGAAAGCAGGGGAUCUUCGGACCUUGCGCGAUUGAAUGAGCCGAUGUCGGAUUAGCUAGUUGGCGGGGUAAAGGCCCACCAAGGCGACGAUCCGUAGCUGGUCUGAGAGGAUGGUAGGCCACACUGGAACUGAGACACGGUCCAGACUCCUACGGGACGCAGCAGUGGGGAAUAUUGGGCAAUGGGCGGAAGCCUGAUCCAGCCAUACCGAGUGGGUGAAGAAGGCCUUCGGGUUGUAAAGCCCUUUUGUUGGGAAAGAAAAGCAGCAGGUUAAUACCCCGCUGUUCUGACGGUACCCAAAGAAUAAGCACCGGCUAACUUCGUG
rnacentral:rRNA from 1 species